rnacentral:misc_RNA from 1 species
UUGAUUCAUUUGUUUGCUUAAAGCCCACUCAGAUAAUGCCACUGGGGUGAAAACAAGAGUUUGAGUCCCCCGGCGGGCGCCUGGUUCCGGGGCACGCGAUGGCGCCCGGGGCGGUCCCGCCGAGGCAACGACUGGUAUGUUCGCAGGGGUUUUGGGAGUUUUUACACUCUGUAAUGAUCCCUCCGCUGGUUCACCAACGGAGA